GCGAUAAUGAUUCAGUAGCACUGUCCUGCGACGCUUAUAAUUUAGUUGCACUGUAUCGCGGCGUAAACGAAACUCGCGCGCAAUAAGUGUAUUUUCGUGUUCCGGACACGCGUCAGCUGCGCAUUUUCUUUCUUUUGAGCCUACGCGUGGCCGCGGAAGGGCCAGUGGUGAGAUUAUGAUGAAUAUUGUAUAUGAUUAUGACCAGAUGUAUGUAUUCAUGAGAGCCAAUGUAUUGUUAACCGUUUGUAUAGCGUGUAGAGAUAUCAGAUAGGCCGAAUGGUUGAAAUAGUGUUCUCUUGUGUUGCAGGAUGCCUAGUUUGGCACAGUGCCAACUGCCAGGAACGAUCUGCUAGACUGUGACGAGCUCAAACCAUUCGGAACACCCGCGUCGACCUGUCUCAAACACCAACUCAUUUAUGUUAUAUUUGGUUUACCUUCAGUCCAUCAUGCCUGUUUUUAUUUUCUAAUACACAGCAGCACUGACACGAGCGGGUUGUCACCGAGUCGGGCCUCAGAUGGUCACAGUUCCGAAUGAAGCUUUCAAGCAGUUUCAAGAUGUCAGAAUUGUAUGUCAGUUACGCAAGUCAAUUCUGAAUGACAGUUUCAAGAUGCAGUUUCGGAGUGACAGUUUCAUGUCAGUUGUCAUGUUAUUUCUCACAUGUCAAUCCUGAAUUACCAGAUCCUUUCCCUUCUGUCUCAGUAUGAAAUACUAGAUUCUGACACAAUUUCAGUCCUGAUACAUUGUAUAUAUCCUAACAUUUGUUACAUCACAUCAGAAUAAGCACACACACAGACCACCAGAAUUCAUCAUCAUGUCUUCGACAACGAGUCGCCUGAAGCAGAAGCGUGGCCAGAUGUUGUGCAGGCUUACCAGAGUAAGAAGGCGGAUGUCUGUCCUCAUCAGCAGUCGAGGUUCCCGCACACAACUAAUGGCCAUGAUGAAGGAACUCGAUGAUGCUCUGCAAUGUGUUGAAGAAGUGAAUGAUGAACUAAAGAUGUCAGUACCAGAGGAUAAGGAGCUACUACAAGAGGCGGAUGAAUACAUAACCUCGGCAACAAAGCAGUAUGAUGAUGCAUAUGAGCGAGCUCAGGGCUAUCUCAAGUCAAGGCAAGGCGAGCCACCCUCGGUGGCUUCAGAUGCUGAGAAGUCUCAGGCCUCAGGAGCUGUCAGGAAAGCGGAAGUAGCCCUCCAGCUAAAACAGCAAGAACUACAGAUAUUGCAACAGAGGCAACAACGGGAGAGAGAAGAGCAAGAACUCAAGAGGAACAAUGAGUUGCAGUCUGCAAAGGAAGCUGAAGACCUGGUCAAGUUGGAGGUUCGGUUGACCGCAGCAGCAGAGGACGACCUGAACUGGGACCGGAGGAAAGACUUCGAUGGUGAAGGGGCAGCCACUGCAGACCAGGCUCAUCGCACAGAGACAGGGAAGAGUACCCAUGCCUCACAGUUACAGCAGCCUGAACCGUUGUUCCUGAGGAGUCUCCCACGCAUCACACUACCCAAGUUCAGUGGUAGUCCUGGGGAGUGGCCCAAGUGGUAUGCUCUCUACCGAACCCUCGUCCAUGACCAGCCCCUAAACUCUACAGAGAAGAUGGUCCACCUCCAGAGUGCCGUUGCAGGACCAGCUCAACAGAUCAUCAGCGGCAUGUUCUAUGAAGGACGGCUCUAUGAAGAUGCUUUGAGAGCGCUUGAAGACCGCUUCGGUAAGAAAGAAGACAUCGUGCAGGAGAACAUGAAGGCGAUCUUCAGAAGUCCAUCACCUUCUUCAAACCAAGACCUGCAGGGACUGGAGCGAUUCCACUCAGCCGUGCACUCUGCAGUGACAGUUCUGCAGAAUCUUGAGUAUGACGGAGACCUCCAUAGUACAGAGAACCUGCGCAGAGUGAUCGAGAAGUUGCCACAGGACAUGAAGUAUGCGUGGAGUGAACAUGCAGUGGAGAUGGAGCCUCGCCGUGCUUCGCUGACAGAGUUCGACCAGUGGCUUGCCAAGCAGGUCAGGAUCACCCAGAAGCUGGCUUCAGUGACUCUGACACGCCAAGACCGAAGGCAAGGAGGUUGGAUCCCAGGCCCAGGUGCAGCGCAGAAAGCCCCAAGACAGAAACCAGUAUCAGAGACGCGAGCUACACUGACCACAGGAACCACCAGCACGAGCCAGACGCAGCACUGUGUGUGCUGUGAAGGAGCUCACCCACUGAAGGAGUGUCCAGCAUUCCAAGAACUGGACGCUGAUCGGCGAGCUCAACUCGUGCUGAGGACAGGCACCUGCUUCGUGUGCCUCAAGAGAGGACAUCGGAUCAAGACCUGCGCGUUCAAGAGAGACUGUGGAAUCGACGGGUGCAUGAUGAAGCACCAUCAGCUGCUGCAUGGCAGCAAACGAGUGACAUCACCAGCGAGAGACAACGAGCACAGAGUCGUGGCCGCAGUCACAGAGCGGGAGCGGAUCUCGGAGAGCGUGACGUUGCUGCAGGUGGUACCUGUGCGCGUUCACACCGAGGACGGUUACCGAGACACGCUGGCGCUACUCGAUCCAGGGUCACAGACCAGCCUCGUGUCAGACCAGCUCGUCCGUGAUGCUAACCUAACCGGAGAUCAACAGCAACUCUGCAUCGAGAACGUAGAAGGUCGGGGAAGCACCAGAAGGACCACCCGAGUUCAGCUGACUCUGAGUCCUCUCUGUGCUGGGGAAGACCCUCACUGCAAGAUCUUCGUCCCUGAAGCCUUCUCGGUGCCAAGAGUUAACGUGCGCGUCCAAGAAAUCCCUAACAAGAUCAGAAACUGGGAGAAGUGGAGGCACCUCCACGGACUGCAACUACCAGAUUGCACCAGAGGGACCGUAGAGAUUCUCCUGGGUGCAAAUGUACUGGAAGCAGUGCUACAGAGAGAGGCGAGGAUCGGCAGCGCCGGAGAGCCGGUAGCAGUCCGAACGGCCUUCGGUUGGUCCCUGACAGGCACCAUCGCCGGCUUCACUCCUGCUUCGACAAACCAUCGACAAGUCAUGUUCCUCCUCCGGCAGCAAGUAGAGGAGUGGUGGACCACGGAGGCGUUCGGCACGCGUUGUGACGUGAACGAAUCAUCUGCAGAAGAUCAGCGGAGCAUCAAAAUCCUGAACGACACCGUCAAGAGAGGAGAGAACCGAUACGAGUCCGGCCUCCUGUGGAAGAAUGAAGACGUCAAGAUGCCGGAAAACCAAGCCACCGCCAUGGGGAGACUCAAGAAGCUGGAGAAGAGCCUGAUGCGGGAUCCCAAGAAAGCUGAAGCCUACGGAGCGGCGAUCCGAGCGUAUGUCGACGCCGGUCACGCGCGAAAGCUGCCCAGGGAAGAAGCUGAGAAACCGCAUGAGAAGCUCUGGCUACUUCCUCAUCACGCUGUAGUCAACCCCAACAAACCCAAGCUGAGAGUGGUCUUCGACGCAGCGGCCUCCCAUCUGGGCGUGUCUCUCAACAGCGAGCUGAUGAGGGGCCCAGACCUCCUCCAGAAUCUGGUCGGGAUUCUUCUUCGCUUCAGACAGGAGAAAGUCGCGAUCGUGGCCGACAUCACACAGAUGUUUCACCAGAUCCAGAUCCGUGAACAAGACCAGCCAGCACUGAGCUUCUUGUGGCGUGACCUCGACUCGUCGCGAGAGCCUGACAUGUACCGCAUGCUCGUCGCGAUCUUCGGUGCGAAAUGCAGUCCUGCUAUCGCUCGCGAACUAUGUCCUACAGAAAACAGCAGAAGAUGGCUGUUCAGGGACAGCGGAAUCUCUGAUCGCCAAAGAAGCAGUGUCAACUAGCUUCUAUAUGGACGACUUUGUGAAGUCUGAAGCGUCCGUAGAAGCAGCCAGAAUCAUGAAGACAGAAGUGACAAGUCUGCUGACCCACGGGGGCUUCAAUCUGACGAAGUGGGUUAGUAGUGAGAAGACAGUGCUGUCAGACGUUCCAGACCAGGAACGGGGAGUACUGAAAGAAGAAGACCGCUCUCCAGGGAACCCGUACUGCACAGUGCUGGGAUGCAAGUGGAUCCCAGAGGACGACACAAUCUCCGUCAAGAUCAGCCGACUCUCAGUACCUGCCACGAAGAGAGGGGUGUUGAAGCAAGCUGCCUCAGUGUAUGAUCCCCUGGGGAUGCUGACACCCUUCACUCUACUCGCCAAGAAGCUGAUCCAGGACCUCUGGCGAGAGAAGUUCGACUGGGAUGAGCCUCUGACCGGAGACGAGCUCCGCAGCUGGAUCCGCUGGCAAGAAGACCUCAAGUACGUGGAAGAAGUCCGUAUCCCGAGAUGGUAUCGCGCUCAGGGUCAGGAGUCAGAAGCUCAGUACGAGCUACAUCUCUUCAGUGACGCCUCCGAGCACGCCUUCGGCGCGAUAGCCUAUACGUCAGAGUGCUGUCGCAUGGUACCAGCUACUGUCAGUUCGUCAUGGCCCGCUCGAGACUGGCUCCGCUGAGACAGCUCUCCAUAGUUCGUCUCGAACUUCAAGGUGCCGUACUGGCAACCAGAGUGGCUACCACCAUCAAGAAAGAGAUAGACUACAACUUCACCAGAAUCUUCUUCUGGACGGACAGCCGCGUCGUGUUGCAGAUGCUGAAGAACGAGAGUCGAAGAUACCACACGUUUGUGGCUAAUCGUGUAUCCGAGAUCCACGAGUCUACGAGCCCAGAACAGUGGUUCCAUGUUCCAGGGACAGAGAACCCGGCAGACCUAUGCUCCAGAGGUCAAUCUCUGUCGACACUCAAGGAGGAAGACUGGUGGGACGGCCCGUCAUUCCUCAGACACAGUGAAGAGCUCUGGCCUCCACAGAGCGACGCAGGAGAGCUCAGUGCAGACUGCAAAGAGCUCAAGCGACCAACCGUCUGUACGUUGCAAGCGGCAAGUCGCGUCCAGACUCAAGAGCUACCUACUGAUUCAGCAAUUCCAGAUCCAGCGCGGUUCUCAUCAUGGCUGAAGUUCCGCCGCGUCGUUGCGUGGAUGCAACGUUUCAUCAAGAACGCGAGAAGUAAGGUCUCUGGGACAGCAGGGACCAGUGGACCUCUGCAAAGUGCAGAGAUCGAGGCAGCUGAACUCUGCAUUCUGAGAACAGAGCAGAGAAAACCGCGGUUCUCAUCACCUCAGCACUUCUCCCACCUGUCACCCUUCCAUGACAGCCGUGGACUGCUGAGAGUGGGAGGCCGCCUCGGCCAGGCUCCGCUGGCGGAGCCCACGCGCCACCCAGUCAUACUGCAAGCUGACAGCGAGAUCACCAGACUGAUCAUCACAGACGCGCACAAGCGAGUUCUUCACUCCGGUUUGGAACGAACUCUCUGUGAAGUUCGAACCAAGUACUGGGUGGAGAAGAUGAGAUCUACAGUCAAGAAGCAGCUACAGAAGUGUGCGUUCUGCCGCAACCGCAGAGCCACCCCUCAGCCACCCAGGAUGGCUGACCUGCCAGAAGCGAGGUUUGACAUGAGACGACCUUUCAGCACAGUGGGUCUAGACUAUCUCGGCCCACUGACAGUGAAGAAGUUCCGCAAGACGGAAAAGAGGUACGUCUUACUGCUUACCUGCCUCGCAACCAGAGCCGUGCACCUGGAGAUGACCGUCUCAAUGGACGCUGAAUGCUUCUUGAUGGCAUUGAGACGGUUCAUCGCUCGCAGAGGCAAGCCUCAAACGAUCUACUCCGACAAUGGGACUAACAUAGUUGGAGGUGAAAGAGAACUCCGGGACCAGAUCGAACGCUGGAAUCAAGAACACAUCACCGACACGCUAAGUCAGAGCAACAUCAAGUGGGUGUUCCUCCCGCCUGCAGCUCCUCACAUGGGAGGCUCGUGGGAGCGCCUGGUUGCGACCGUCAAACGAGCCCUCAGAGUAGUGCUCGGCAACCAGUGCGUCUCCGAGGACGUUCUUCUCACCGCCCUGGCUGAAGUAGAGUUCAUGGUGAAUGGUCGCCCUCUCACCUACGUAAGUAGCGACCCACAAGAUCCAGAACCACUGACACCCAACCACUUUCUGCUGGGUGCUACUGACGCUCGAGAAGGACUACCUCCAGGAGUCUUCAAUGACCGUGACCUGAUCGGACGACGACGAUGGAGACAGACACAGAUCUUGGCAGACCAUCUGUGGACCAGAUGGCGCCGGGAAUACCUACCAUUUCUGGCUGACAGAAAGAAAUGGAGACAAGAGAGCAGAAAUCUGCAAGAAGGUGAUGUCGUGCUGAUGGCAGACACCUACAACACUCCAAGAGGUGACUGGCCUCUGGGCCGGAUCAUCAAAGUCUUCCCGGGAUCGGACGGGCGAGUCCGAUCAGCCGAAGUCAAGACUCGCAGCGGCACCUUCACCAGACCCGCACACAAGCUGUGUCUACUAGAGGGCGCUGAUGACGCCCGGCGACUGGUGGCGCGUGUGCCGGCCCGUCACUGAUGGCGCCCGGCGCGCGCUGCUGCCGGCUGGCCCGGCGCGCGCUGCUGCCGCCGGCUCGUCGUGCGCUGCUGUCGCUGCUGCUCACCUGCUGCCUCCGGCGCCGGCGCGCUGCGCCCGUCGCGCCCUGCUGCCGGCUGGCCCGGCGCGCGCUGCUGCCGCCGGCUCGUCGUGCGCUGCUGUCGCUGCUGCUCACCUGCUGCCUCCGGCGCCGGCGCGCUGCGGCCGCCGCGCCCUGCUGCUGGUUAUACCCAGGCCGCCUGGUUGUGGGCGGCGCCCGAGCCGCUGAACCGGUGGCGGUAUCGGUCUUCAGAGGGACGCCGGAGACGCGACUGCUGCCCGUCAGUGUCCGUCGUACACUGCAUUCCGGUGAAGAAGAGAGACUUACCUCAGUGAUUGAGACAAUCCGGUGUUUCACCCGUGUUCGCGUAAUCCGUGAUCGACUCGCCGCGCUCAGUGAAUAUGUUACUCGUGAUUAAGUGAUGCGUUUAGUUAUUGCGUUCAGACAGCGACGCCUGCUGAGUUAGCAUACCAGUGUGUAUGAAGUUGAGACUAGUGGAAUGUUGCCUCAAGGCUCGCUGAUUCUAGUACCGUGGAUGGACCGCUGUGAGCUGCCGACUCUGCUCCUGAUGACUGCAAGGUCAACCGUACAGGUCAACCGACUGCCUCUGCAGAGCUCUCCGAAGAAGUGUUAGCUGGCUGUGUCGAUCGCUGUGAUUUGUCCCACCGCUCUCAGAAGCACUUGUUGGACUCAGGUCGAUAUCGUGUUCCCGUGUGUGAACACUGGCGGGGGAGGGUGUUGUGACACGCGAUAAUGAUUCAGUAGCACUGUCCUGCGACGCUUAUAAUUUAGUUGCACUGUAUCGCGGCGUAAACGAAACUCGCGCGCAAUAAGUGUAUUUUCGUGUUCCGGACACGCGUCAGCUGCGCAUUUUCUUUCUUUUGAGCCUACGCGUGGCCGCGGAAGGGCCAGUGGAUGCCUAGUUUGGCACAGUGCCAACUGCCAGGAACGAUCUGCUAGACUGUGACGAGCUCAAACCA